UAAUUGAAGAGUUUGAUCAUGGCUCAGAUUGAACGCUGGCGGCAGGCCUAACACAUGCAAGUCGAACGGUAACAGGGAGCAGCUUGCUGCUCUGCUGACGAGUGGCGGACG
rnacentral:rRNA from 1 species